CUGUGCUGCCUCUCUGAUUACUUACGAUCAUGUCAUGAACUAUGGCAUGGACCUGACCGAUGAGCUUUGCAAUUGUGUGGCAUGCAGCCCGGGAUCUUGGUGCCUGAGGCGCUGGGCCUUGGCAACUGGGUGAAGGCGCAGGAGUGGGCGGCCGUCCCCGGCGGGCAGGCCACAUACCUGGGCAACCCGGUGCCGUGGGGCACGCUGCCCACCAUCCUGGUGAUCGAAUUCGUGGCCAUCGCCUUCGCCGAGCACCAGCGCACCAUGGAGAAGGACCCCGAGAAGAAGAAGUACCCCGGCGGCGCCUUCGACCCGCUCGGCUUCUCCAAGGACCCCGUCAAGUUCGAGGAGUACAAGCUCAAGGAGAUCAAGAACGGUGAGUCUCCUGGUUUUGUGUACUAUAUGAUCUCGUUGUUGUAGUGACAGCCUCCCACUCCAUUGAUCAUACGCUAACCACUGGGCAUCGUCUAAACGAUUGUGCAUGAUGAUGAGCAGGCCGGCUUGCGAUGUUGGCGUUCGUGGGGUUCUGCGUGCAGCAGUCGGCGUACCCCGGCACCGGGCCGCUGGAGAACCUGGCUACCCACCUCGCCGACCCGUGGCACAACAACAUCGGCGACAUCAUCAUCCCCAGAACGAUCUACCCUUGAGCUGAGAUGAUUGUGAGAGAAGAGGAUGAGACGAGACAGGAGAUGGGGCUGUGCUGGGAGUGUGGAUGAUGUUCUAUGUGUGUGAUUGGUUGGUUACUGGGCACUGCCUGCGUGCGUGCAGGAACUGUACAACGAACAACGACGGCGACUUUCCGGCCGGCCGGGAACCCCUUAUAAUGUAAAGCUUAUUAUUAUUAAGUAGCGGCUACCCUUAUGAAUCCACCCAAGUUUUGUGCCAAAACCAAACUAUAGCUUUGCUAUGUUCCCCAUUGUUUUGCCGAAGGGCAAAUCAGAGGAAGUUCAGCGUGUGUUUGAUUUGGGAUCAAAUGAGAUGUGUUGGAUUCAUCCUACUUUUCUUGGUCAGGUUCAAUCCGUCUUGUGUUUGGUUGGGAGGGAUGUGUCCAUCUUGGUUUUUUUGAAAGGUGAGAUUUAAUACCGUUAACCACGGUUAAUCUCAUCUGUCAUCCAUGGAUCUCAUGUGCCAUCCUAAUUUCCCUUACAUUUGUUUUCUUUUAGCCUGCCUUAUCUUCUUGUGACGCUUCCUCAACGCGCCCUCCUUCACCAUGUCACCUCUCUAUUGUGCCAUCCUCCCCUGCCGCCCUCCUGUAAUACCCCGUCCUCCAAAGCUGCACCGCCCAACCCUUUUGAGGGGCGGGCACGCAUAUACAUAUCAUCCUACUUACACUUUUGUCGUCGCUUUGUGUAAAAGAUUUAACCCGAAGGUGCUAUGGCUGGUGGACAGAGGUUUAUAAGUUAGCUCCACCUUGCUCAACUAGCAAGGUGGUACUAAACAUGCGCACCUAUGCUCAUGGGCCACUACUGGGCCAUCCAAAAUUGGACCGGGUGCUACAUACACCCCCCUCAAAGAACCCGACGUCCUCGUUGGUCCAACUCACCCACACUUAGCGCACGACCGUACGUCCAUUGCCGGCGCCAUAUGUCAUGCCGUGUGUCCCAUCUAAAGCCCACACACGACAUGCGUCAUAUGCCUGCACACUGACCCGUACGCGCAACCGCAAGGGUUAGCUCUGAUACCACUUGUAACACUCCGUUCUCCAAAGCUGUCCCGCCCAAACAUUACGAGAGGGCGGGCACAUGUACACAUAGCACUGUACUUACACUUUCGUUCUUGUUUCGUAUAAAAGGGUUAACCCAAAGGUGCUAUGGCUUGUGGUCAAAGGCUUAUAAGUUGGUUCUGCUCUUGCUCAACUAACAAAGUGGUACUAAAUAUGCAUACCUGCGCUCAUAGGUCACUACUGAGCCAUCCAAAUUUGAGCCGGGUGUCACAUCUCCACUCCUCACACCUCUCCACCCUGUUCCUCCACAGCAUCGGCCGCUGUAGCUCGUGCCCCCAAUACACCUCGGGCUGGUCCCAACUCACUCAGGCAGAGCUUGCCCCACCUAGCGGCGGAGCUCUGCAUCUACACGAUAUUUUCCCUUCGAGGUAUGUCCCAACCCACAUGAAUCUCCGUCCAAACGGUGAUCCAUUUGGAUCUGACCUGUCCCAUCCAGUUCAACCUUCAAACCAAACGCAUGCUUAAUUUUGAAAUAGGGAAAAUUUGUAUGAGACUUGAGCACCUGGUGAUGGUUGCUUUUACAUAGAAACUAAAUACGCACAUCGAAUCUAUUAUGAGAUACAGGAAGACAAAGGCAGUUUUCUCCCAAAUUUCUUUCCCAUCCAUUUGUUCUGAAUCAUCAUGAUCAAGUGCUUCUAACUGAUGAGGUUGUAUACCUAAGGGCCAAUAUAUACGUAGGGUGAUUUUUUUUCAAAAAUAAAGGAAUAGUAAAUAUUCUUGACUUCUUUUCUUCUUUUUAAUCAAGAAACGUAUACUUCCUUUGUCAUCCUAAAUUAUAGGUCGUUUUGGUAUUUAUAGAUUCAUAGCUUUUACUAUGUAUCUAGACAUAGUAUACAUUUAGAUGCAUAACAAAAGCUAUACACCUAGAAACAUUAAAACGACCUACUUCCUCCGUCCCAAAAACAAGUCAUUCUAGAAAUUUUAGGACAUAUUAACAAGAGGUAAAAUGAUCUUGAUUGGCCCUAUUUAUUAGCUAUAUUUGGUGCUAAUUAACUGUUGUAUUCCUACUGCACACAUGCUAAAAUUGUGUAUAAUGAUCGAAAAUUGCAUCGUGGAAUUUGCAAUAAUGCGAUGACGACAGGAAUUGAAUGAAAAGAUCAGAAAAAAUUCGAAUAAAUACAAUGCAAGUAAAAGUUCAUAGAUUCAUGAUUCAUUGGACAAAUUUUAAAUCGCAGAAUGAUUUUUUUGGACGGAGAGAGUACAAUUUAGGAUGGAUGGAGUAGCUACUAAGAAACACUAACAUAGCGUCGAGGUGAGAUAUUAUCCCGAGAGGCGGAGACAGAGAUUGACAAUAAUGAAAGUGGCCAAAAAAUGCCGCAAGGUUCAACACGCACGCCGGAUAGAGAUAAAGGCCGGGCGGACCCGUCAUGGCUCGCCUCGCCCAAGGGAACCAAACUGGCACCAACAGAAUACACGCCUUCAAAAUGGAGGCCUCUCUUCUAUAUAUCGCCGUUGAUAUUCGCCAGCGACCAACCAAACUUUCACAACGAACUGGCCGGAAAGAAGAUGGACAUGGACCUGCCGGUCGGGCCGACGUUGUCGUCGGCCGUCGGUGCUGGCGCCGGCAGCUCAUUGCGGGCGUGGUCGGUGCGCGCCGGCAUCGGCCGCGAGGUGGACGGUCUCGCCGCGGUUCUUGAUGAGACCAAGCUGGUCCUCAGCUUGGCACGCGGGAAGGAGGAGCCGGAGAACAAGGCGUUGGAGGGAUUCUUCAGGGAGCUAGACUACGAGGUGUUCGACGUGGACACCCUCGUCAACGAGCUGGAGGACCGCCGCCGCAUACGGACCGAGGUGGUGGAACCGUGGAAGCAGCUGCUGAGGAGGCCGUCGCUGGGUGGCAGGUUAGUCACAUCGUCAGAAAAUAGAGAUUUUGGAUUCCCCCUUUCUACGAAGAAAAUGGAGAGAUCAAAUCAAACGGGCAUUUGGGUUUAUGAUCUUCACAAGAAACAUGGAUGGAUGAUGCAGAAACCAAAGAAAAUAAGUUUGGACACAUGAUGACACGGUCUCAUCCUUUUGUCGCUAUUUUCUAGUAAAAUAAAAGGUUAUCAAAAUAUUUUCCAGGAUAAAUCUACAAACAAGGUUUUUGAAGUUUUCAAACUAUGGUAGUCCUUGCGGAUCAGUUAAACCGGGUUUGGCACUGCAUGCUUCAGCUCUGGUCCUCCAUGUGCGCCAUUGCAUGCGUCAGUAAACAUGGUGGCGGUUGCGGACGGUAGCUUCCUCCUCUAUUGGUAUUUCCAUAUGGUACUGUAUAUUUUGGGUUUGCAGUCUUCACUCUUCAGUCUCCUUGGUCUGCCUAGUUCAGUUAAUUUGUGAUGCUUCCCGCACGUGUGGUGUUGGAUCAGAUGGUAAUUCAGGCUCUCAGUUAGUUUCUGCCAAAUUUGAUUUCGGACUCAGUUGUAUUAUUGCAAGAAACUUGUGUUAUAUUAAACUUCUUAAUCGGACAUGUUGGAUGUUCCAGAUCCCAAACUUCAAGUUAACUAGAGAAAUGCUGUCGGCAUUAUUGGAAUAAAAUGCAGCUAGCACUUAGGCUUAAACAAGAGCACAUUGUUUUCUCUCUUCCUUUUCUUUCGUUGAGAAAAUUUGUAUAUGCAAGCAUCUAUUUAUUUCUUCUUUUUAAUUUUAUUUCUAGUACUUGGGUAACCAUACUGAGUGAAUGGCAUGCAGGCCUCGGCAGACGAAGCUAGGUUGUUCAGAUGGAACAAACUGUGAUGUAUUUCAGCAGAACAGCUCUAAUACUGACCCAUCAGCCUCAGAUUCAUCAGAACUUCAGCUCGUAACGUACAAAGAAGAAGCAAAAUCUUUGAUGCCUGGGGUGGAACUAGACAACAAGGAUGACAUCCUACGUAGGAUAUCACAUCAUGUCAAUCCGCUCAGUCAAAUGCAACAUUAUGCACGCAAAGCUCUCAGACAUGAGGAGCUUGACUUGCUUGCUCUCUGAAUGAAAUCUGCUGCAGACACGGACUUGAGACAACUCCUUUGGUCCCUGAACCCAGAAUCUAUGGCAGAGACAGGAGGAUUUGUCGGUCUUCGCAGUUGUUGGUAACGGUGGUGUUGGCAAGACCACAUAAGCUCGUGUUCUAUACAAUGACGAGAUAGUCGCCCGCAACAGUUAUAGAAAGCCACCUGUCUAUGACGUGUCCACAUCAGCUAUAGGUAAUAAUUGUAGACUAGUUACUAAACAGAUCAGCUAUAUCAUUUAUUUCAAAAUUUAGUGGGUCCCACGCGCCAGGAUUUCUUUAAUCCUUCCCUCCUCUCUCUCUUCCCUUUCCAUCCUCUCCCUUCCUGUCUUCCCCACCUCCCCUAUCCCGGCAGCACGCCUUCACCUUCGUCCGCUGCUGCUCGCCGGUGGGCCGCGCCCUAAGCCAGCGGGCCGCUUCUCCUUUGCGUUACUGCGUGGCGGCGCUGAGGCCAAGCUCCGUCCCUGGAUGGAGUCCGCCCACGACAGCGGCCAUGCUCCGGUGGCCCCGCACCUGGCCUCCGCCGCAGGCACCCCCGCCAGCAUGCACGCAUGUGGCGCCACUCCCGGCCUCCACUGCGGCCACGCCCGCGGUCAUGUGCGCAAGCGGCACCACUCCCGACCUCCGCCGCCAGCCGCGCCGUCUGCAUGCGCACUAGCGGCCGAGCAGCGCUCCACCAGCUCCAUGCCCGCGCCCGCCGCCCAGCCUCCUCCCUCAUCGUACAGGGUGCCGGUGGCUGAGCCCCGCCUUCCCUCCUCGUAGUGCCGGAGGCCGCAACUUGCCCCCUCCCCACUAGGCCACCACGCUCCUCACCUUUGCUUCUGACAGCGCCCACACACACGCAGGUGGCGCCAUACUGCCCCUUUGACCCCCCAUGUUGGCCACGCCGCGUGCCCCACCUUGCCCGUGCUCGAUGACCUGGGCGACACCUCAUAUGUGGAGUGGAGGCUUGGAGGGUGGAGGCUGGAAGGACUGAAGGAGAGAGGCAGAGGCAGACGGGGAGCGGGGACAGGUAAGGCAUGGAGAUGAGCAGGUGGGCGGGGAGCGCUGUCGGCUCUCGCCAGGUUCAGCAACAGCCGCUUCUUCUAUUUCCUCCAUGCGGGACAAAAAACUGACGUGAAAAUCUUGUAGAGAGCACAUAUCGGCCCGUUGCGGCUGCCAUAAGGGUGUGGAUCUAUGCCUCUAUCAAUUUUGAUGAAAUUAAGCUAACCCCUGAUUUGUUAGAGUGCUUGUAUGGUGACAGGUUUGAGAGAAUUGAGGACAUGAAUAAACUCCAACAGUUUGUUGAGGACGCUGUGAAAUAAAAAAGGCUUGGUCUGGAUGAUAUACGGGAAGAUUGCCAAGCGGCCCCUUAGCGAUCAGUUGUAGCUCUUUCCUCAGAGUAUACAAGAUCUAUUUCAACUAGCAUUGUUAGUAUAAGCCUUUUGUUGAUAAGUGAUUCAGAUUUAAUCUAGCAUAUACAGACACAUAACAGAUAGAGCAGAGGUAACCAAUCUAGAGCAACCUAGAUCAUGCAUAUGUUGUAGUUCUGAGCAUGUAUAACAGAGCAAUACAGAUAUGAUCUUAGUAAAAGUAUCUUUAAAUCUACACCUCCGGUCUGGCUUCCGAAAACCCCUAUCUUACACAAGAAAGAUCCUAUCAUGAUCUCCUCUAUCAGCAUAUGUAAUCUAAGGGCACGAUCACAAGAAUAUGUUAUACUCAUCAGUAGAUCAGGCAUGCAAAUCUGUCACCAUGACCAUAUAAACAUCCUAAGCAAUCUAUCAUAGAUUGAAAAGCAAGCAAGUCCGAAAGAGCAUAAAACCAUAGAAGGAGGCACUUAGAUCGCUAAGAACAAGAACAUAUCUAUUACUUCACCAUGAAUGAUUGUACAUCACCAGAUCUCCACAAGGAUUCUACCUUGAUCUAAUGAUCCUAGCUCCAGAACUCCAACGUGGAUCUUCCUUGCAGGGUUCCCACGUUAGCUAGGGCUUAGCUAUGCUAAUCCCUAUACAACUGCACGACCCUCGUCUCUUCGAAGUGGUAUCCCUCAAGCUCCUUCUGCUUCCUCAUUGGAGAAAUGGGGUAUUUAUAGUCUGGAGGAUCUGUGGCAGAUGGAAGGUGAGGGGGCGAAGGAACACCCCAUGCCGAUUGUCCUGGGCCUUCCUUUUGCCCACUCGCGCAUCCCUUUAUCUCCAAGUCAUCUCAGGUAUUCUGAAGUCUUCUUUUCACUUGCAUGUAGGCCUGGCACGUCGAUAGCUUCAGGAUAAGAUUGAUCCUUGAUAACUCAUAUCUCCGCUUGAUCUUCUUUGAUCCCGAACUCAUUUUGCCAUAUCUUUACAAACUUGGCCCUUAAGUCAUCCUGGAGGAUUGCUUGCUAAAAAAUGAGCAUGAGAGGGGCCCUAAGGACCCUAGGCCGAUCGACAUGGGCCUCUAUAGGCCGAUCGGCCUAAGCCCUAGUUGGGCUUGGUGGCCUUCAUCUGUCUCUGGUUCGUUCAGGGCUUUACCCAAUUACGCUCCAUUAAGUUUAAUUUCCUGCAAAAUGGGCUAUCCUCCAAAAUAUAUUGCAUAUGUGAAAAUGACCCGUUUAUUAGGUAUGAUCAAUAGUUUAGGUAUUAAAUUCAUGUUAUUAUUGAAGAUAAAGAUGGGUAAAAAAAUAUCAAUAAUGAGCGUCAACAAUCCCCCCAUGCUUAAACCUUGCUCAUCUUCAAGUAAGUCUUCAAUAGAAAUCAGCGUUGCCCUUCGGUGUUCAAUCCUGCACUUGAUCAUGCACAAGAAAACAUAAUAUUCUCAUAAUAGUUUUUUAAUUAGUAUUCAAGUUGUAACCAGUCUUUUCUAAUAUGGAGGGUAGAUAUCAUUUAAGCACACCUCCCACAAUAUAUUAAUCACUUGCUCUCAAUUUUAAACAAAUCUCAAAAGAUUUUCGAUAAAAUUUUUUCAAAAAGAAACUGAACCGAGAUCAACAAUUUAAACUUUAUUGCAACUGCUCAUUAUUUUCUCAGCUCAUCAAGUCUCUCGAACCUGUGCUAGA
rnacentral:lncRNA from 1 species